UACAGAGGUCCCAAGCGUUGUUCGGAUUCAUUGGGCGUAAAGGGUGCGUAGGUGGCCCCGUAAGUCAGGUGUGAAAUCUCGGGGCUUAACUCCGAAACUGCAUUUGAUACUGCGGUGCUUGAGGACUGGAGAGGAGACUGGAAUUUACGGUGUAGCAGUGAAAUGCGUAGAGAUCGUAAGGAAGACCAGUGGCGAAGGCGGGUCUCUGGACAGUUCCUGACACUGAGGCACGAAGGCCAGGGGAGCAAACGGG
rnacentral:rRNA from 1 species